rnacentral:lncRNA from 1 species
ACUGGCUUCCUUCCUACCGGGUGUUGCAGCUGGGACAGAGUGCUGCACUUCGACCUAAUUCUGAUGGUCUUCAGCUUGAGAUGACCAAUCUAAUCCAGCUUCCUUCAAAUUCUGCUCGUCUGGAUGUUUCCUGGUGACAUUUCAGCUAUUGCCUGGUCACGUGGGAAAGAGAA